UUCAAAAUUUUGGUAAAGAAUCUGUUUUCUUUUGGGUUUAAUUUCGGGUUUAAUUAAUAAAGACCAACACACAAAAUUGUAUUUACACUAGAUGGACUAGCCCAUCCUUAUUUUAAGAAGACAACUGAAUCUAAGGCCCAACCCAAUCGAAAAACUACCCAGCUGAAAAAUGUUGCCUUUCACUGUGUUUAACUUGUUCUUCAUCAUGUUGCUGCUGUGGAUUAUCAACAGUGUACCGUGGAAUUAAGCUGCUACUGUGCAUAUCAGCUCUCAGAAGUAUGUUCUUCGGUGGAGGGGAUGAUGUUCUUAUUUUUAUGCUGUGUUGAAGGUAUCAGGUCCUUGAAUGGUAGCUCAAUCUAAUUGCUGCCAGGAUAGAGAUAGUGGGAUGCUCGGAUUUGCAAGUAAUUGGACUGUAAUAAUUUUUCAGGUGUUUCAGCUGCCAAUAUGUCACUUGACCCUCACCUUUUGCUGUGCUAAUGCUCAGUUCCCAGACCGUGCUUAGACCUCACUCUUCAGGCUAUCUGCGGUACAGUAGUAGUAGUAGUGGUGAGUCCUCAUCAUUUGAUGACAGAUUAUUUUUACUUUAUAUCUCUAUUUCAAUAGUUAGCAGAGUGAGUUGGGGGUCUGUCCCAUCACCUCAUAUUCAGUCAGUUAGUUCUUAGAGGUUUUUCAGACAUUAGAGUCAGUUAUCCAGUAUUCAGA